AUAACGGUGUCUUUAGACACCACCUAUAUCUUUGAUAUUUUUUGU
rfam:Picea glauca, whole genome shotgun sequence.